rnacentral:misc_RNA from 1 species
AACGCAACCGCCGCCGGUUUACCGGCAUGCCUGUUUCAGUGUGCUAGCUGAGUAAACUAUCAUUAUAAAAUAUAAUGCGAUUUAGGUACAUUUAUGAUCCUCUUUCGUUAAAUAUGAAGGUGUGAGAGAUGAGUAAUCUCUAACACUGGCAAACGAAGUAGUCAUGCUUGUUCGUGAUCUCGUUUAACCAGUGCUAAAGGUUUUUGCUUAGCUAUAAAUCACAUCUAAUCAAUUAAAUAUCUCCAAAUUUGGCAUCUGAAAUCAGACAAGGAUACCCGCUGAACUUAA